GGACGGUGCUAGCGUUGUUCGGAAUCACUGGGCGUAAAGCGCGUGUAGGCGGCCCAUUAAGUCUGAUGUGAAAGCCCGGGGCUCACCCCCGGAAGUGCAUUGGAAACUGAUGGGCUGGAGUCCCGGAGAGGAGGGUGGAAUUCCUGGUGUAGCGGUGAAAUGCGUAGAUAUCAGGAGGAACACCGGUGGCGAAGGCGGCCCUCUGGACGGUGACUGACGCUGAGACGCGAAAGCGUGGGGAGCAAACAGGAUUAGAUACCCUGGUAGUCCACGCCGUAAACGAUGAGCACUAGGUGUCGCGGGUAUUGACCCCUGCGGUGCCGACGCUAACGCAUUAAGUGCUCCGCCUGGGGACUACGGCCGCAAGGUUA
rnacentral:rRNA from 1 species